rnacentral:rRNA from 1 species
UACCUGUCAAGCUCCCACACGUGGGAGGGUUUCUUCCUGUAUAAAAGCAGUUUACAAUCCAUAGGACCGUCUUCCUGCACGCGGCAUGGCUGGUUCAGGCUUGCGCCCAUUGACCAAUAUUCCUCAAUGCUGCCUCCCGUAGGAGUA